UCGGGAAUUUUGGGCAAUGGGCGAAAGCCUGACCCAGCAACGCCGCGUGAGGGAUGAAGUAUUUCGGUAUGUAAACCUCGAAAGAAUGGGAAGAAUAAAUGACGGUACCAUUUAUAAGCUCCGGCUAACUACGUGCCAGCAGCCGCGGUAAUACGUAGGGAGCAAGCGUUGUUCGGAUUUACUGGGCGUAAAGGGCGCGUAGGCGGCGCGGUAAGUCACUCGUGAAAUCUCUGAGCUUAACUCAGAACGGCCAAGUGAUACUGCUGUGCUAGAGUGCGGAAGAGGCAACCGGAAUCCUUGGUGUAGCGGUGAAAUGCGUAGAUAUCAAGAGGAACACCUGAGGCGAAGGCGGGUUGCUGGGCCGACACUGACGCUGAUGCGCGAAAGCCAGGGGAGCAAACG
rnacentral:rRNA from 1 species